rnacentral:rRNA from 1 species
UACGUAGGGCGCAAGCGUUAUCCGGAAUUAUUGGGCGUAAAGAGCUCGUAGGCGGUUUGUUGCGUCGGCUGUGAAAUCCCGAGGCUCAACCUCGGGUCUGCAGUCGAUACGAGCAAACUAGAGUGUUGCAGGGGAGACUGGAAUUCCUGAUGUAGCGGUGAAAUGCGCAGAUAUCAGGAGGAACACCGAUGGCGAAGGCAGGUCUCUGGGCCGAUACUGACGCUGAGGAGCGAAAGCGUGGGGAGCGAACAGG